GCUUGCUCUUCUUGGAUGAGUUGCGAACGGGUGAGUAACGCGUAGGUAACCUGCCUUGUAGCGGGGGAUAACUAUUGGAAACGAUAGCUAAUACCGCAUAACAAUGGAUGACCCAUGUCAUUUAUUUGAAAGGGGCAAAUGCUCCACUACAAGAUGGACCUGCGUUGUAUUAGCUAGUAGGUGAGGUAACGGCUCACCUAGGCGACGAUACAUAGCCGACCUGAGAGGGUGAUCGGCCACACUGGGACUGAGACACGGCCCAGACUCCUACGGGAGGCAGCAGUAGGGAAUCUUCGGCAAUGGGGGCAACCCUGACCGAGCAACGCCGCGUGAAUGAAGAAGGUUUUCGGAUCGUAAAGCUCUGUUGUAAGUCAAGAACGAGUGUGAGAGUGGAAAGUUCACACUGUGACGGUAGUUUACCAGAAAGGGACGGCUAACUACGUGCCAGCAGCCGCGGUAAUACGUAGGUCCCGAGCGUUGUCCGGAUUUAUUGGGCGUAAAGCGAGCGCAGGCGGUUUGAUAAGUCUGAAGUUAAAGGCUGUGGCUCAACCAUAGUUCGCUUUGGAAACUGUCAAACUUGAGUGCAGAAGGGGAGAGUGGAAUUCCAUGUGUAGCGGUGAAAUGCGUAGAUAUAUGGAGGAACACCGGUGGCGAAAGCGGCUCUCUGGUCUGUAA
rnacentral:rRNA from 1 species